AUGAUCUGCGUCUCCGGCGAGUGCAGGAACGCCAGCCCCCGCGCCGCGCCCGCGGCGAUCUUCAGCCUCGUCGCCCACGACAGCGGCUCGAACGAGCCGCCCCCUGCGCCAUGCAUGGGUCGAGGAGAGGUCAGCGAAGAGCAAAGUGCAGCGUGUGGAUGGAUCGAUGAAUGGCGAUGGAUGCAUGCAUGGUGGAGUGGAUUGCGUACUUCGGAAGAGGUGGUUCUCGAGGCUGCCCUUGGGCAUGAACUCGUAGACGAGGAGGAGGUCGCGGUCCUCGCCGUCGCCGCAGUAGCCCAGCAGCCUCACCAGGUUCGGGUGCUGCAGCCGCCCCAGGAAGUUCACCUCCGACUGCACUUGUGCCAUACAAAAGAAAACAAGUUGCCACGUUAG
rnacentral:rRNA from 1 species